rnacentral:rRNA from 1 species
AUUGAACGCUGGCGGCAUGCUUUACACAUGCAAGUCGAACGGCAGCGCGGGCUUCGGCCUGGCGGCGAGUGUCGAACGGGUGAGUAAUGCAUCGGAACGUGCCCAGUAGUGGGGGAUAGCCCGGCGAAAGCCGGAUUAAUACCGCAUACGACCUGAGGGUGAAAGCGGGGGACCGAAAGGCCUCGCGCUAUUGGAGCGGCCGAUGUCGGAUUAGCUAGUUGGUGGGGUAAAGGCUUACCAAGGCGACGAUCCGUAGCUGGUCUGAGAGGACGACCAGCCACACUGGGACUGAGCCACGGCCCAGACUCCUACGGGAGGCAGCAGUGGGGAAUUUUAGACAAUGGGGGCAACCCUGAUCCAGCCAUGCCGCGUGCGGGAAGAAGGCCUUCGGGUUGUAAACCGCUUUUGUUCGGGAAGAAAUCCUCUGGGCUAAUACCCCGGGGGGAUGACGGUACCGGAAGAAUAAGCACCGGCUAACUACGUG